rnacentral:tRNA from 1 species
GGGCCCGUAGCUCAGCGGUGAGAGCAGGGGACUCAUAAUCCCUUGGUCGGUGGUUCGAAUCCUCCCGGGCCUA